UUAGGAGCAGCGGGAAAGCGAUAAGGAAAGCGACAGCCAUAGCCACUCGCUGCGCCUCCUCCUCAUCGCCUCGCCGUCGCCGGAGAAGACAACCAUGACCACCAUCGCCGCGCGGAUGCCGUUUGCGGGCCCACGCCUCAGGCCUCCCUGCAACCUCACCGCCUCGAGGCCGGGUCCCAGGAGGGCCGGGCUGGCCGUCGUCUCCGCCGCCGCCGGUGGCCCGCUUCCCACCGUGCUCGUCACCGGCGCAGGCGGCCGAACAGGCCAGAUUGUGUACAAGAAGCUCAAGGAGAGGGCAGACCAAUUUGUGGGGAGAGGGCUAGUCAGGACUGAAGAGAGCAAAGCCAAGAUUGGGGGCGCUGCCGACGUGUUCGUCGGGGACAUAAGAGAUCCCGCGAGCAUUGCUCCUGCCAUUGACGGCAUCGACGCGCUUAUCAUCCUCACCAGUGCGGUUCCGAAAAUGAAGCCUGGGUUUGAUCCCAGCAAGGGGGGACGCCCAGAGUUCUACUUUGAGGAUGGCUCUUAUCCUGAGCAGGUGGAUUGGAUUGGCCAGAGGAAUCAAAUAGAUGCUGCCAAGAGCAUUGGUGUAAAACAGGUGGUUUUGGUUGGAUCCAUGGGCGGCACAGAUGUCAAUCACCCACUAAAUAAGUUAGGAAAUGCAAAUAUACUGGUUUGGAAGAGGAAGGCGGAGCAGUACCUAGCAGACUCAGGUCUACCAUAUACAAUUAUAAGGGCUGGAGGAUUACAGGAUAAAGAUGGUGGUGUGCGGGAGUUGCUUGUUGGGAAGGAUGAUGAGAUCUUGAAGACAGAAACAAAAACUAUUACCAGAGCAGAUGUUGCAGAAGUUUGUUUACAGGCCUUGCUAUUUGAGGAGGCAAGGUUUAAGGCAUUUGAUCUGGCAUCAAAACCUGAAGGUGAAGGAGUACCUACAACUGAUUUCAGGGCUCUUUUUUCGCAAGUUAAUAGUCGCUUCUAAGAAGUAUAAUCUGUCAACGAGGCACAAUAUUUGUGAUGGAAUAAUAUGAAGUGUGUAUUGAGUGAGGAGGCUCCUGAUGGAAGAGCUCAAGAACAUUGUUGUCUGCUAAUUAUGGAAAACAGGCAAGUAGUUAAAGUAGACAAACACGCACCUUACUUAUCAGCAGUUCCAAUUCAGCAACAACAUCAUAUAUAGGUUCCUUGAGACACAGAAGUGAAGGAAGAGGGGCAUGGGCCAUGUUCAUUUCAGAUUAUAUAGAGAUCAUGUUGUCCCCAUGAAAUGAAGGGUUCAGAUUGCUCCACCGUUUUUUGGGGGGAUAUUCUUGAUGCAAUAUAAAAAAAGGCGAAUAUUAGGGAUGGCUUGAUGAUCUAAGGCUCCCGUACAUGUUUUUUGCGAGAAAGUAGCUAGCGAGCCCAGCUAGAAACAAUCCUUCUUCUUAAGAUAAUGAGCUAGGAACAUCCUUUUAUUUGUCCAUCUGUAGUUAACUACAAUGCCUUGGCAUCAAGAAUCUCCAAUCAAGAACACGUUCACACUAUAAUGUGUCUAGCAGCAGCUAGCAUCAUUAUCCUAAAAAAAUUUAGCUACAUACAUAAACAUUUAAAAGAGUAAAGUGUAUUGCUGGCACUUAAAUUUGUUCGUCUUAUCUAGGUCCUUGAUAUUGUUAAAGUGUA